rnacentral:miRNA from 2 species
UGGGGCGGGGCGGGAUCGAGCAUAUGAAAGGCGAGAUUGUUGACAGAAGAGAGUGAGCACACGGCGCGGCGGCUAGCCAUCGGCGGGAUGCCUGCCCCCGCCGCGUGCUCGCUCCUCUUUCUGUCAGCAUCUCUCAUCACUCCCUCCCGCAUCCCCCGCCCCGA